rnacentral:rRNA from 1 species
GACGAACGCUGGCGGCGUGCUUAACACAUGCAGGUCGAACGGAAAGGCCCUGCUUUUGUGGGGUGCUCGAGUGGCGAACGGGUGAGUAACACGUGAGUAACCUGCCCUUGACUUUGGGAUAACUUCAGGAAACUGGGGCUAAUACCGGAUAGGAGCUCCUGCUGCAUGGUGGGGGUUGGAAAGUUUCGGCGGUUGGGGAUGGACUCGCGGCUUAUCAGCUUGUUGGUGGGGUAGUGGCUUACCAAGGCUUUGACGGGUAGCCGGCCUGAGAGGGUGACCGGCCACAUUGGGACUGAGAUACGGCCCAGACUCCUACGGGAGGCAGCAGUGGGGAAUAUUGGACAAUGGGCGAAAGCCUGAUCCAGCCAUGCCGCGUGUGUGAAGAAGGUCUUCGGAUUGUAAAGCACUUUAAGUUGGGAGGAAGGGCAGUAAGUUAAUACCUUGCUGUUUUGACGUUACCAACAGAAUAAGCACCGGCUAACUUCGUG